GUAACAACGAUUUCUGCACUAAAAAUGUCAUGCAUGACAAAUUGAGAGAAAAUGAAAAAUUUAUGGCCCUUAAGUCGAUGUUACCUUCACUUAAUGAGAUCAACAAAGUAUCGAUACUCAACGAUACAAUCAAAUAUCUGAAGAUGCUUGAAACAAGAGUACAGGAGUUAGAAACUUGCAUGGAUUCAUUAUAUUAUGAAGAAAGAUUCAGAAGGAAAUAUCUUGACAUGGUGGAGCAGACUUCAGACAACUAUGACUAUGAAAAGAUUGAAGGCAGCUUUAAACCUUCAACGAACAAGAGAAAAGCCUGUGAAAUGGAUGAAACCGACCUGAAGCUGAAGAAUGACAUUCCCAAGGAUGGCCAUAAGCUAGAUGUGAAAGUCACCAUGAAAGAGCAAGAAGUUCUUGUUGACAUGCACUGUCCUUAUCG
rnacentral:misc_RNA from 1 species